rnacentral:rRNA from 1 species
AAUUCCUCGAUAGGUGAAGAACUCUGAAAUGAGUCUUUGCCAAAAAGACGCUUGCGUUAUGCUCGUAGGCGUCGCCCAAGGAUGAGGCCGCGACCGAUCAGGUUGUUGGUGAGGUAAUGGCUCACCAAGCCUUUUACCGGUGCGGGCCGUGAGAGCGGGAGCCCGGAGAUGGGCACUGAGACAAGGGCCCAGGCCCUACGGGGCGCAGCAGUCGCGAAAACUUUGCAAUACACGAAAGUGUGACAGGGCUAUCCCGAGUGCCAUCCGCUGAGGAAGGCUUUUACCCAGUCUAGAAAGCUGGGGGAAUAAGGAGAGGGCAAGUCUGGUGUCAGCCGCCGCGGUAAUACCAGCUCUCCGAGUGGUGUGGAUGUUUAUUGGGCCUAAAGCAUCCGUAGCUGGCUAAGUUAGUCCCUUGUUAAAUCCACCGAAUUAAUCGUUGGAUUGCGGGGGAUACUGCUUGGCUAGGGGACGAGAGAGGCAGACGGUAUUUCCGGGGUAGGGGUGAAAUCCUAUAAUCCCGGGAAGACCACCAGUGGCGAAGGCUGUCUGCUAGAACGCGCCCGACGGUGAGGGAUGAAAGCUGGGGGAGCGAACCGGAUUAGAUACCCGGGUAGUCCCAGCUGUAAACGAUGCAGGCUAGGUGUUUGGACGGCCACGUGCCGUUCUAGUGCCGCAGGGAAGCUGUUAAGCCUGCCGCCUGGGGAGUACGAUCGCAAGAUUGAAACUUAAAGGAAUUGGCGGGGGAGCACA